CAGCAGCCGCGGUAAUACGAAGGGUGCAAGCGUUAAUCGGAAUUACUGGGCGUAAAGCGUGCGUAGGCGGUUUGUUAAGUCUGUUGUGAAAUCCCCGGGCUCAACCUGGGAAUGGCAAUGGAUACUGGCAAGCUAGAGUGUGUCAGAGGAUGGUGGAAUUCCCGGUGUAGCGGUGAAAUGCGUAGAGAUCGGGAGGAACAUCAGUGGCGAAGGCGGCCAUCUGGGACAACACUGACGCUGAGGCACGAAAGCGUGGGGAGCAAACAGGAUUAGAUACCCGCGUAGUUCCUGUCUCUUAUAC
rnacentral:rRNA from 1 species